GGGACUGUAGCUCAGCUGGUUAGAGCGCACGCCUGAUAAGCGUGAGGGCGGUAGUUCCAGUCUACUCAGCCCCUCCA
rnacentral:tRNA from 1 species